rnacentral:rRNA from 1 species
GACGAACGCUGGCGGCGUGCUUAACACAUGCAAGUCGAACGGAAAGGCCCUGCUUUUGUGGGGUGCUCGAGUGGCGAACGGGUGAGUAACACGUGAGUAAUCUGCCCUUGACUUUGGGAUAACUUCAGGAAACUGGGGCUAAUACCGGAUAGGAUCUCCUGCUGCAUGGUGGGGGUUGGAAAGUUUCGGCGGUUGGGGAUGGACUCGCGGCUUAUCAGCUUGUUGGUGGGGUAGUGACUUACCAAGGCUUUGACGGGUAGCCGGCCUGAGAGGGUGACCGGCCACAUUGGGACUGGGAUACGGCCCAGCCUCCUACGGGAGGCAGCAGUGGGGAAUAUUGCACAAUGGUCGGAAGCCUGAUGAAGCAACGCCGCGUGAGGGAUGACGGCCUUCGGGUUGUAAACCGCUUUCGCCUGUGACGAAGCGUGAGUGACGGUAAUGGGUAAAGAAGCACCGGCUAACUACGUG